GAAUCCCGUGAACCAUCGAGUCUUUGAACGCAAGUUGCGCCCGAAGCCUUCGGGCCGAGGGCACGCCUGCCUGGGCGUCACGCAUCGCGUCGCCCCCCCAGCCCGUCCGCCCGCUCCGGGCGGGGCGCGGGGGGCGGAGACUGGCCUCCCGUGCGCCUCCGUCGCGCGGCCGGCCC
rnacentral:rRNA from 1 species